GCCUUCCUGGUGUAACGGUAGCACACUCGGCGCGCAUUCGAGAGGUCCCGGGUUCGAGUCUCGGCGAGGGCA
rnacentral:tRNA from 1 species